GAGACUCUAAUUUGUUGCCUU
rnacentral:snRNA from 1 species